UACGUAGGGGGCAAGCGUUGUCCGGAUUUAUUGGGCGUAAAGAGCGUGUAGGCGGCCAGGUAGGUCUGCUGUGAAAACUCGAGGCUUAACCUCGAGCUGUCGGCGGAAACCAUCUGGCUAGAGUCCGGAAGAGGAGAAUGGAAUUCCCGGUGUAGCGGUGAAAUGCGUAGAUAUCUGGAGGAACACCGGUGGCGAAGGCGGCAUCCUGGACCGGUAUUGACGCUGAGGAGCGAAAGCCAGGGGAGCAAACGGG
rnacentral:rRNA from 1 species